GUCCUUUAGUUAAGAAUAAUUUAAGGUCUAACCUGCCCAUUGAUUAAAUUAAAAGGCCGCAGUAAUUUGACUGUGCAAAGGUAGCAUAAUCAUUAGUUUUUUAAUUAAAAGCUUGUAUGAAUGGUUGGACGAGAUAAAAUCUGUCUCUUUAUAAAAAAUAGAAUUUAAUUUUUAAGUUAAAAAGCUUAAAUUUAAAUAAAAGACGAGAAGACCCUAUAGAUCUUUAUAUAAUUUUUUUUAGUAUUAAUAAAGAAAAUUUUAUUUAUUAGUUAAUUUUAUAUUUUAUUGGGGUAAUAAAAAGAUUAAAUAAAUUCUUUAAAAUUUAACAAAAAUUAUUGAUUAUAUGAUCCAUUAUUAAUGAUUAUAAGAUUAAGUUACCUUAGGGAUAACAGCGUAAUUUUUUUAAAGAGUUCUUAUCAAUAAAAAAGUUUGCGACCUCGAUGUUGGAUUAAAAGUAAUUUUGGGUGCAGAAGUUCAAAAUUUUGGUCUGUUCGACCAUUAAAUUUUU
rnacentral:rRNA from 1 species